rnacentral:rRNA from 1 species
GAAGCACCGGCUAACUCCGUGCCAGCAGCCGCGGUAAUACGGAGGGUGCAAGCGUUGUUCGGAUUUAUUGGGCGUAAAGCGCGUGUAGGCGGUUUCUUAAGUCUGAUGUGAAAGCCCCGGGCUCAACCCGGGAAGUGCAUUGGAUACUGGGAGACUUGAAUACGGGAGAGGGUAGUGGAAUUCCUAGUGUAGGAGUGAAAUCCGUAGAUAUUAGGAGGAACACCGGUGGCGAAGGCGGCUACCUGGACCGAUAUUGACGCUGAGACGCGAAAGCGUGGGGAGCAAACAGGAUUAGAUACCCUGGUAGUCCACGCCGUAAACGAUGAGAACUAGGUGUCGCGGGUAA